AUGAGCAAUGCUCUACUUGCCCCUUGUACCGUGGAAGAUGUUCGCAAGGCUUUAUUCGAUAUUGGGGACUUAAAAUCUCCAGGGCCAGAUGGACUCAAUGAUAUUUUCUACAAAAGAUUAUGGCCCAUGCUAGGGGAGGACCUAAUUGAGGAGGUUCUAAAAGCAAUCAACACAUGUACUAUCCCGAACGGUUGGAAAGAUAUGGCGAUCGUGAUGAUUCCUAAGAUUAAUACACCCGAAAAGGUAACACAAUUUAGGCCGAUCAGGUUAUGUAAUGUGGUAUACAAAAUAAUUUCAAAAAUGGUGGAUUCUCGAUUGAAGGCUUUUUUACCAGAAAUUAUUAGUCCAACACAGAGUGCAUUUAUACUGGGAAGAUUGAUAACGGAUAAUAUUUUAGUAGGCUAUGAAUGUUUUCACAAAAUCAAGAACAACAGAGAAGGUAGAGAGGGCUUGUGUGCUAUAAAACUUCACAUGCACAAAGCACAUGAUAGAGUCGAGUGGCCCUUUAAGGAGAUUAUGUUGAGAUUAGGUUUUCAUCGAGAAUGGGUGAAUUUUAUUAUGCAAUGCGUCUCAACUGUCGAAUACAGAGUAAGGAUCAAUGCGGAGGAAAGUGAGAGUUUCAAGCCUACUAGAGGGUUGAGGCAGGGUGACCAGCUAUCACCAUACCUCUUUUUGUUGUGCACAGAGGGGUUGAAUGCCUUGCUUACAUAUGCUGAGGAGAACGGAGACAUAUCAAGAGUUAAAGUCUAUAGAGACUCCCUACCAGUCAUAAUCUUCUCUUUUGCGGAUGAUUCGUUGAUCUUGAUGAAAGCCAACCAACAUAGUGCGACGGCCCUGACAGCACUAGAUCUUUAUUGUGCGGCGUCGGGACAACUGGUAAGCAUGGAAAAGUCCAUUAUUUUCUUUAGUCCUAAUACAAUGGUAGAGAUUAGAGAACAACUGUGUACAACACUGAAUAUAAUGACAGAGGCACUGAAUGACAAAUACUUGGGCUUGCCAGGAAAUUUGGGUGUUGAUAAAAUAGACUGCUUUAAAUUUUUGAUUGAGUGAAUUGUUAAGAAAAUUAGUGGUUGGAAGGAAAAAUUACUGUCUGCCGGGGGGAAGGAGAUCCUACUCAAGAUUGUGAUCCAAGCCAUACCUACCUAUGCAAUGUCGGUCUUUAAAAUUCCUAAAAAAAUUGUAAAGGAUAUUGGCGCGAUAGCGCAUUUCUGGUGGGGAGACGAGGAGAACCAGAGGAGGAUGCACUAG
rnacentral:rRNA from 1 species